CUUUGUUUCUUUGUAGGUUUUUGAAAUCCCACAUGUAGUUCACAAUUACAGUGGAUCUCAGCUGGGGCUAGCCACGUUUCGGGCACUCAAAUAACCACAAGUGUCUUGCAGCGACCAUACCGGAAAGCAGAGCUCUAAAAACUGCUGUGAAGAAAACCAUCAGGGAGAUACUGAUGAUCAGCAUGAUCAAAGACGUUCAGAACAAACUAAGACGUUGUCCUUCAUGGGAUGUGAAGGCCCCAGAGAUACUGAAAAGGACCCCACGUGGCAUUUAGUCGUCAUGUCCCCUGAGCCCCUCUUGGCUGUGACAGUUUCUCAGACGUUCUUUGUUCUUGAAGACCUUGACCGUGUUAAGGACUAGUCAAGUAUUUUGCAGCGGAUCCCUCCGCUGGGACUGUCCGAUGUAUUUCUCAUGAUUCCAACUAGGGUUGCGGUGUUUGGAGGAAGGUGACCACGGGGGAAAAGUGCCACUGCUAUCCCACUAUAUCAAGAGGACACACCGCUGAGGGAACAUCAGCCUCAGAAAAGGCCACUCAGCAACCUUGGUGGAUCGAGGCACAGACACAGCCGCCCCGUGAUCACGUCUGAACACAGACAUGAGCGUCAGCCCGGCCGCAGAAGUGACCAGACAGUCCUCUCUCCUGGCCGGUACUGCUUCUCAACCGAUUUCCGCUCUCGCCUUCCUCCAGUGACCCUCCUCCUCCAGGAGAUCUAUCAAGAAACUCAGUCAUAGAAUUACCCUGGCUUCCUGACGGCAUCCAAUCUAGAACAAAGCCCAGCUUCCCGAAGCUCUCCUCAAAAUCCCCUAGCUCGAACCCAAGUCCUAUCCUAGGUUGUUCCUAACGCGAGCUUGCGCGCAGCUUCCUACCGCGUGCCUCCUCCCUCGUUUUAACCAACGUGUUCAGCUGCGGGUGUCUUCCCGCAAGGACACUCCUUAACAUUCAGCACUAACAGCGUAAAUACUUCUU